rnacentral:misc_RNA from 1 species
GCAAGUAUUUUGAGGGAAUUGAAGGUGUAGCCAACAUUAAAGAUGGUUACAACCCAGCAACUUGGAUGUUGGAAGUUUCUAGCUCUGCACAAGAGUUAUCUUUGGGGGUUGAUUUUGCUAACAUUUACAGGAAUUCAGAUCUUUACAGGAGAAACAAAGCAAUGAUUCAGGAGUUAAGCAAGCCUGCUCCUGGUACAAAGGAUCUCUAUUUCCCUACACAAUACUCGCAACCCUUUUUAACCCAAUGUAUGGCUUGCUUGUGGAAGCAAUCUUGGUCAUACUGGAGGAAUCCACCAUAUACAGGCGUAAGAUUUUGGUUCACAACCUUUAUUGCCUUGAUGUUUGGGACAAUUUUCUGGGACCUUGGCUCCAAAUUGGAAAAGGAAGGAGAUCUUUCCAAUGCAAUGGGUUCAAUGUACGUAGCUGUUCUUUUCCUUGGGGUGCAAAAUUCAUCAUCUGUGCAGCCAGUUGUUGCUAUUGAAAGAACAGUCUUUUACAGAGAGAAAGCUGCUGGAAUGUAUUCUGCCAUGCCCUAUGCCUAUGCACAGGCCUUGAUUGAGCUUCCCUAUAUUUUUACUCAAGCUGGAGUCUACAGUCUUAUAACAUAUGCAAUGAUUGGUUUUGAAUGGACUGCUGCCAAGUUCUUCUGGUAUCUAUUCUUCUUGUACUUCACAUUGUUGUACUUCACCUAUUAUGGAAUGAUGGCUGUCGCCGUGACGCCAAACCACCACAUUGCAUCCAUAAUAUCCUCAGCAUUCUACGCAAUAUGGAAUCUAUUUGCAGGAUUCAUUGUUCCAAGACCUAAAAUGCCUGUGUGGUGGAGAUGGUACUACUGGGGAUGUCCAAUAUCAUGGACCCUGUAUGGAUUAUUUGCAUCACAGUUUGGUGAUAUAACUAAACCGCUCGGGGAGACUGGUAAAACAGUUGAGCAAUAUGUGAGUGACUUUUAUGGUAUUAAGCAUAACUUUCUGGGAGCAUGUGCUGGUGUUAUUAUUGGAAUCGACACACUCUUUGCAGUUAUUUUUGCCAUUUCCAUCAAGGCCUUCAAUUUCCAGAGGCGGUAGAAAUUUGCUUUGCUUUGCUCUUCUUUCAACUUAGGCUAUUAUAAAGGUUUUGUUCUAUCAACAAGAUGAGCAAGUAGUGAAGAACAAACUUGUCCAAGUUCUUGUAUAUUUUUCUUAUUUUAUUUUUAAAUAUCAUGUAAUGGUUGCAACUUCAUAGGCUUUAACUACUUGCAUACAAGUAGAAAGCUGCAAAGUUACAGUAUGUUAGCAAGUGCAAUAUUUAUUAAAUUACAUUUUUUUUUACUUUA